UACAGAGGUGGCAAGCGUUGUUCGGAAUUACUGGGCGUAAAGGGCGAGUAGGUGCCAGCUACUAAGUCACACGUGAAAUCCCCAGGCUUAACCUGGGAACUGCGUGUGAUACUGGAUGGCUUGAAUUCGGGAGAGGGAUGCAGAAUUCCAGGUGUAGCGGUGAAAUGCGUAGAUAUCUGGAGGAAUACCGGUGGCGAAGGCGGCAUCCUGGACCGACAUUGACGCUGAGGAGCGAAAGCUAGGGGAGCAAACGGG
rnacentral:rRNA from 1 species